GACUGCGGGAGAGCGCAGAGAAUGCGCACCGAAGGCGUAAGUUGUCUUCCCCGGCCAGGGAGACGGCGAUGAUCUCAGGUAAAAGGACCGCAAUC
rnacentral:ncRNA from 1 species